rnacentral:misc_RNA from 1 species
AACGCACAUUGCGCCCUCUGGUAUUCCGGAGGGCAUGCCUGUUUGAGUGUCAUUAAUCUCUCACAAGACCUUUUGGUCUCUGAUGAAGUUGGGAUGUGCGACCCCUCGUGGGACGCUCUCCUCAAAUGGAUUGGUGCGGCCCGCCGCCCGGUUACACAACGUUCUAGGUUCGUCCAACUCGUUGUCAAGCCGGUGCAAAUCUGGCGCUGCACCUAAAGCCCGCCUCGUGCCCUGUGCUCUUGGCUCAUUCAUUUAUUGACCUCAGAUCAGGUAGGAAUACGCGCUGAACUUAA